GGGCAAUUAGCUCAGUCGGCUAGAGCGCCGCGUUCACAUCGCGGAGGUCGCUGGUUCGAGUCCAGCAUUGCCCA
rnacentral:tRNA from 1 species